GAUCCUCUGAACUGGCUGAAGCAGCAGAGUGUAGAGGGAGGGUUUGGAUUCAUCACCUGCUAUGUCACUCUGAUAGCAGCACCACACAGUCAAGCACAAUGCAGCACAGAUGGACCAAUCAGCAUCAAAGGGAAAAACACAGCAGGUGCCGAAGACUUCAUGGAGCUGGUGGCCAGCAUGUUGACAACUGACAGACAGUCUGGAAGCUCCUUCAGUGCACGAAACACUUCCCUGCACUAUCAAAUCUGCACAGAUUGGGAUGACAGAGUGCUGAAGGAGAGUCAUGCUGAGACACACUCGUGGGGAUGCAAGACUGUACAGGGAAGCUACAGAUGGGAGUACAGCCAAGUCUUUAGAGCACUGGCAGACACCUUGGAGAAGGAUGAACUGAAAAAGCAUCAGACUCGUGGGAAACCCAUCCCAUAAAUCCAGUUCAUCUAGCAGGGAGAAAAAACACUCUCCUCCAAGAAGAUCAACAGCACCCUCCUGCAGACUGCACAGGUAUGGCAUAUGAAGGUGGACCUGGGGAAUAAACUAUACUUCCACCUGACAAUAUUCUGACAAAGGAAAGAAGAUGAUCCUAAUAGGACUGCCAGUCCCACUGGAGGAUGGAUGCAAGGAAACCUCUGUGAGGAAAACCACUAAUUACCCUGAUCAGGGCUAACAGUGCAGGAUGGCAGAUCUGACUGUUCUCAGCUGAAAUUGUUGCAGAGGUUUUCCCUGCUUGGGCUGUUGGAGAAUGCUUAUUGGUCUGAAAGUAGCAGGAAGACAGUGGAUGAUAGCAGCACAGAGGUUGGGGGGGGGGGGGGUGCA